CUAGUUUUUCAGAAUACUUCCAAUGAUCAUAUUUUAUUUGUAAUGAUUAUUUUUGAGCUUUCAAUGGCUAGAACAUUAAUAUGACAGACAUUUUUGAGACUAUAACAGUGAAAUAUUCAAAUGGAGGAUCAAGAAAUUGAAACUAUUGAAUUUAUUGAAGAAAAUAUUGAAGCUAUUGAUGGAACCAAAAAGAAGAGGUAAAAAAUUAAAAGAGCUUUCAAUUCUCACCUUCCUAUAUUUACUCAACUCAAAAGAGAGAAAGAGUGCACUUAACUGAGGGAACAACCACCGAGCA
rnacentral:lncRNA from 1 species